GCAGCCGCCGCGGUAAUACGUAGGUGGCAAGCGUUGUCCGGAAUUAUUGGGCGUAAAGGGCUCGCAGGCGGUUUCUUAAGUCUGAUGUGAAAGCCCCCGGCUCAACCGGGGAGGGUCAUUGGAAACUGGGAAACUUGAGUGCAGAAGAGGAGAGUGGAAUUCCACGUGUAGCGGUGAAAUGCGUAGAGAUGUGGAGGAACACCAGUGGCGAAGACGACUCUCUGGUCUGUAACUGACGCUGAGGAGCGAAAGCGUGGGGAGCGAACAGGAUUAGAUACCCCCGUAGUCCCUGUCUCUUAUAC
rnacentral:rRNA from 1 species